rnacentral:rRNA from 1 species
CUGGAAUGGUUCCUGACUAAAAUCUAUAUGGCCUCUGGAUUGGACUGCGGCCGAUCAGGCUGUUGGUGAGGUAAUGGCCCACCAAACCUGUAACCGGUACGGGCUCUGAGAGGAGGAGCCCGGAGAUGGGCACUGAGACAAGGGCCCAGGCCCUAUGGGGCGCAGCAGGCGCGAAACCUCUGCAAUAGGCGAAAGCCUGACAGGGUUACUCUGAGUGACUUUCGCUAAGAAAGUCUUUUGGCACCUCUAAAAAGGGUGCAGAAUAAGGGGUGGGCAAGUCUGGUGUCAGCCGCCGCGGUAAUACCAGCACCCCGAGUGGUCGGGACGAUUAUUGGGCCUAAAGCAUCCGUAGCCGGUUCUGCAAGUCUUCCGUUAAAUCCAGCCGCUCAACGGAUGGGCCGCGGAGGAUACUACAGGACUAGGAGGCGGGAGAGGCAAGCGGUACUCAGUGGGUAGGGGUAAAAUCCUUUGAUCCAUUGAAGACCACCAGUGGCGAAGGCGGCUUGCCAGAACGCGCUCGACGGUGAGGGAUGAAAGCUGGGGGGGCAAACCGGAUUAGAUACCCGGGUAGUCCCAGCUGUAAACGAUGCAGACUCGGUGAUGGGCUAGCCUUGUGCCAGCCCAGUGCCGCAGGGAAGCCGUUAAGUCUGCCGCCUGGGGAGUACGGUCGCAAGACUGAAACUUAAAGGAAUUGGCGGGGGAGCACCACAAGGGGUGAAACCUGCGGUACAAUUGGACUCAACGCCGGU